rnacentral:lncRNA from 1 species
UGACAUUUUGUUACGUAGCAUACGGUGGCUGAAAUCACGGAGGAUCUUCCCUGAAAACAAGAUAGAAAAAAGAAGAGGCAUUAAAAUUAUCGCCCGACAAAGAUGGUCAUCAGUUGGGGAAAGGGGGGGCACAUUAUCUAGCGGACUCUCGCCAUGUCGCCCAUUUCUUAUCCCUCCUGCACGACCUCUCACAGAUUGGCGCAAUGAUGGCAUUAUCACAGUCCCAACGUCGACAUCUGCACGUGAAUCUCGAGCGGAAGACUGCGAGAUUUCUUUCUCACACUAGGGAAAGCGGCAUCUAUGGGAGUAGCCAAGAGGUUCUCCCGUACCGAGAGAGACGCUGUUCUUAGGAAAACCGCGUGUGCCUUUAUAGGUGUAAAUCCCCAAGUCUCAUGC